AAUUAAAUAAUUUAAAAAAAAUAUUGAUUUGUGGAAUCAAAAAUAUGAUUGAAUCAUUUUAAAUA
rnacentral:tRNA from 1 species